GACGAACGCUGGCGGCGUGCCUAAUACAUGCAAGUUGAGCGCUGAAGGUUGGUACUUGUACCAACUGGAUGAGCAGCGAACGGGUGAGUAACGCGUGGGGAAUCUGCCUUUGAGCGGGGGACAACAUUUGGAAACGAAUGCUAAUACCGCAUAAAAACUUUAAACACAAGUUUUAAGUUUGAAAGAUGCAAUUGCAUCACUCAAAGAUGAUCCCGCGUUGUAUUAGCUAGUUGGUGAGGUAAAGGCACACCAAGGCGAUGAUACAUAGCCGACCUGAGAGGGUGAUCGGCCACAUUGGGACUGAGACACGGCCCAAACUCCUACGGGAGGCAGCAGUAGGGAAUCUUCGGCAAUGGACGAAAGUCUGACCGAGCAACGCCGCGUGAGUGAAGAAGGGUUUCGGAUCGUAAAACUCUGUUGGUAGAGAAGAACGUUGGUGAGAGUGGAAAGCUCAUCAAGUGACGGUAACUACACAGAAAGGGACGGCUAACUACGUG
rnacentral:rRNA from 1 species